GCAUUUCAGAGAUACGUCAUGGAAGCUGUGGAAUGUCGUCACUCCAAAGUCUCCUUGUUCAGACGGUCUCGUCUGAGAUGGAGACGUUUUUUCUACAGAAGUACUUUAAUACCACGCACGGUAUUGAUAUGAGUCACUUCCGGUUUCCACUGACUACCACAGCCUACGUUAAAGGGGAGAUAAGGAAGCAUCAAUGAUUGGUCACAAGAUUGAGAUUGUCCAAGUCUUGCGAAAGUCUCGGGGGAAUUUUUGACAUCUCGCAAGAUGUCAAAAGUCUAACACAAUGUCACAAUGUAGGAAAUUUUACAUUUUCUAAAGGUAUGUUGUCGUCUUAAAAUAGAACAAAAUCGAAGUGUCACAGGAUACGUCAUAGUCUCGCAAAGUAUGUCCAAGUCUGGCAAACUUGUUAAUGUCAAAUCUCGAAAUGUCAAAGUAUCACAAGAUUAUUGUUAACCAUGCCCAAGUUAAGUUAAACAGCUGACAAUAAUUAAACAAUACCAACAUUUUUUUUCAAAAAGUCUCAGGAUAAGUCUUUGGAAAUUAAGUCAAAGGAUCACAAGAUUUAUUUAUGGUAAAAUGACAC